GUGAGUAAAAGAGGUAACGAAAAAUUUUCUUUUUAUGUCAUUAACUAAGUAUGCAUUACAGAGCCCUUAAGGUCGAAGAAGAAAGAUGACAAGAAGAGCAAGCCAACAUGACGACGACCAGGAACCUCCAGGCAACAUCGACAUCGAAUAAAAAAAAAAAAAGUGAGAAGAGAAAAAUGAUAAGAACAGAAAAAGAAGAUACAUAGA
rnacentral:lncRNA from 1 species